UGGUUGUUUGCUUGGCUCUUUAGCCUUGCAGGUGGCAGUUUCCCAGUUCGGCUUCGGGGAUGUUUAUCGUAAAGGUGCAUGAGUGGUGUUUGGUUUGAUACGGGUGGUUGGCUCCCUGCUUGAGCAGGCACGGCCACGCGUACAAUCCUUUUCAGUUGUGCGGCAAGGCUUGUAUCGUCUUGAUCGUAUAUGUGGGUUUCCUGUGUUGCAUACCUGAUCAACGGCAUCAUCUUGAUCAAAAAUGUAUCUUUUUCGUCAGGCUUUGCACCCGCAACGUCGGAUGAACCAUGCAGCACCCUCUUUGAUCCAUAUAGUCGAUGAGAAUUCGUUGAUUGUUUGGCCCGUUGAGGGUGGCUUGGUCUCUUGGAUAUGGAAGCCAAAGCGGGCAUGGGUUCUUAUGAUCCUUUUAUUGCCCUCGUUGAGCGUUCUCGCUUCUCUUACACGACCGCCUUUCACGUAUGGCACGUCCCAGCGUGUUUGGCUAC
rnacentral:misc_RNA from 1 species